UGUACUUUGUUUAUGACUACCAGGUGAUCUUUUCUUCUAUUGUAGUUAGAAACCUGGUUGUAGCAUUUGAAGGAGAUGGAGCAGGAAUUGUUUACCUGAUGGGUUUCAGUAAUUGAUGCCUUCUUAUUCAAUUAAUAGAUUAGUGUUUGACUUAAUAUUCCUCUUCUUGAUUUUUUUUACGGCUAGAGAGCACGACAUAGUGGGAAGAACUGUUAAGGUGUACCAUUACCCAAUUUAAAUUUUUGUUUAUUGGGUGAUUUAAGAUGUAUCAUUUGCUUAAUUUGGGUAAGGGUUUGGUGGGUUUGAGGUUAGCUUCCGGUAUCAUGUAAUUUUGUUGACUCCUUUUGUGUUUUUCAUGAGACUUUUGUAUGUUUUUCAUAAGACUUUUGUCAUGCAAUUUUGUUGCAAUAUGCAGUAAUUGUCAUUAUUUUUUUUCAA